rnacentral:lncRNA from 1 species
CAAAAUGGCGAAGGGCUGUAGCGAAGUGGUCUGUGUUUGAGGCCGGUGUGAGAACGCAUAUUCUCCUCCCCAAUCCUCGUCCCCAAGGAAUUCAGUGCGUGUGUGUGCGUGAGCGCAGGGUUCCCGCUGGGGCGGGUGCCCAGUGAGUGCCCGGACUCGCGGGGAAGCGCCCACGGGAACGUGAUUGCUUCUAUUUUCCUGUAUGAAGCGGUUGGCACCACUUAAGUGACCGAAUGAGAAAGGUUUAACUGAGGAGGGAAGACCCACCCUGACUAUGUGAGGCACCAAACCCAUGGGCUGGGGUCCUGGAUUGAAUCAAAUGGAGGAAGCAAGCUGAGCAUGAACAUUGACCUUCCUGACUGCAGAUAACAGUGGGAUAGCUGCCUCCUGCUGCUUCUACCAUGCCUCCCCCUUCCAUGAUGGACUGUACUCUGAAACUGUGAGCCAAAACAUACAAUUUCCUAUGUUGUUUUGUCAGAUUCUUCCACACAGCAAUGAGAAGAACACUGAAUGCAUAUAUUAAUAAAGUUUCAAGUCAUGAAGAACAAAGGAAGAAGGACUGUGGCUCAGUGGAGCAAGGUUUUUCAUUGUAGUGCUGAGUAUAGUAAAUGAGCAGAGCAGACUUCUUGGGGAAGUUCUACUGUAGGAACUGAUGGAGUCAGUUAUUUAUUGCUCAGCCUCACCUGGUACGCCAGCAUUGAAACUUUCUUCCUCUCCUAGCUAGGACCUCAGUCAGGUUCCUGCCACUCUACCAGUGAGUUGUAAUGCAGACUGAAAUAUUUUUAGGUGCAGAAGAAGACCUUAGAGAAGCUCUAUGCACAUAUGCAUUUAUUGUAUUCACUUCUGUAGUCAGGCCAUGUGACCCAGAAAGCUCUGCCAUGAUGUAAGCAAGGCCAGCAAGCCCAGACGGAUGCAGGAACAUUGUGAACUCCAGAAGCUACAGUUACUUGUGGAAAGGGAAAGUUUUAAAUUAUCUUUGGCAACUUAAAAUGAAAUGCUAAUGGUAUAUAUUAAAGAUUCUGGGCAAACAGCU